UGAAAUGCGAUAAGUAAUGUGAAUUGCAUUAUCUCGUGAAUCAUCAAAUCUUUGAACGCAUAUUGCACUCUUUGGUUCUCCAAAGAGUAUACCUGUUUGAGCAUCAUAAACUUUACUCUUGAAACAUUUUUGUUUUAGGGAUUUUGAGAUUCUACUCUGGUAGUAUCUUUAAAAGUAUGUGUUUUAAUAUAGGAAAUUGUUUGACAGUGGGAUACUGACUGUGGUCUCUUGAACACUAACCAUCAAUAAUCCUUGAACACACUACAGGAAAUUUUUGGUAUAUAAUCUCAAAUCAGGUAGGAUUACCCGCUGAACUUAA
rnacentral:misc_RNA from 1 species